GCCGAACUGAAAAAAAUAAAAAUAAAAAUCUGUUCAUUUUACAUGAAGGAAAUUGGAAUCAGAAUUGUGAAAUAUUGCAAUUUGGAAAUUACUUUAACACCUGCAAUGGAAACAUUAGAGGCCACAAUUUUCAGACCCAGUAGCACCUGAAGACACAGAUAGGUAAUUGUGUUAUUUCUAAAGUCCCUAUACAUGCAUUCAACCCACAUUACUGUCAGUAUUAAUGUAAUGCUGGAUCCAUCCUUCUGCAUCUUUAUGUUUUGGUCCCCCCGUUCCUUUGUUUCCAGUGUAAUUUGCCUGCAUAUAAAUAGCCAAUAUAGAAAGAUGGGAAAUUUCUUACACCCUCUUUCAGUUUCUGCUACCUUUCCUUUUGAAGCCAGUGGUCAGCCUGCAUCUGAGCAGACUCAGCCUGGGCAGCUCUGAAGGAGCAGAGGGCCAGCUGUGCAAAGCGCUGGAGGUCUGGCAGCAAUACUCGAUCAGCUGCAUACUGAAGCAGCUCAUCCUCCGACAGCCAGUGGCUCUGCAGGGUUUGUUGACUGUGUCUGCGGGUGAAAACCUCACCCCAAAUAGUCACUGUUUUGGCUGCAGUCAUACUGGAAGGAGUCCAUUCGUUCCCUUGCUCCCUCCUGCUGAUUCUGGUAAUGUGCACCUUAGGAAGGCACUCUGCCUAUACGAUGGAUGUGUGCUGAUUAGUAUUUGUUAGGCUGCAUAGGGAAUAUGAUUUUGUUGGCGAUGUACUGUACUGAAUAUGGAUGGACUACUGCAAUGAUAUCAAUGAAGUUGCCUUCACUGCUGACUGCUUCCUGUUACCUAAGAACCAUAAUUGUACUACAAAGGAUGCUCCAAAAGUAAUGCCUCCUCUUUUGUCAUGUUGGCUCACAAUGUCAGAAGUGGAUGUUGAUGGUAUGGCAGUAGAUACUGAACCUUCCCAGCAGUAUUUCAUUUCAUUUUGUUGCCAUGUGACAGAGGAGCUGUCUUACAAAAAGGUGUUUGACAUGGAGGCACAGAUGAAGCAAAGAUGUAUCACGGAAUUCCUCUAUUCAUGAAAGAUGGCGUCCACUGACAUUGAUCAACACUUGCUGAAUGCUUAUGGAGACCAAACAGUGGAUGUGAGCACAACAAGGCGGUGGGUGGUCUGUGUCAGCAGUGACUACAGUCGGUUACCUCUGCUGGUACAGAUUUUUAAAUGUGAGGUAUGCAGACUCACGUUCAUCACUGGUGAAAAUGCACAGGUAAUAGUGGUGUCUCUGUUGAAAAAUACUGUUUUGUAGCUGAGAAUUUGCUCUAUCAAAUAGUGCUAUUGUGCUCUUUGUAUUUGUUGUUGUUUCCAUGAAAAUAAAUAGGAGGUGUUACUUUCA
rnacentral:lncRNA from 1 species